GGGAGGGAGGGCCGGAAAUGUGCUGGAGACCGCCUAGGUCCUGAGAGGAAAGGAGGGCGGGCCUGCCCCGAAGGUGCUGGUGGUGCGGCUCUGUGUCCUCCAGUUGUAGGCAGGGGAGAAGGGUCAGGCUUCAAUGUCCACUCAAGUUGUGUCUAGAAAGGCAGGGUUAACUGUACCCUAGGAACGGGUGUGGGGGUAGGUUGUCAAAGAAAACCAGAGCUAGACAUAAGCUAAAACGGUGGAAAUAAAUUUUAUUCACCAUAAUGUAGCUACAGGGGAAGACACACUCCAGUAUAGACUUGGGGUCAAUUCUGAAUACCAGCAGAUCAAGUGGGGAUUUAUAACUAACAAGUUGGAGUUGGGGGUGUUAGCUGAUAAAUACACAGUCCGGCGGCUUUUGGCUGUACCGACCUAAUAAGAUUAUUGCUGAAGGCAGGCCUAGGUGAUCUGAUACCACCUGGGGGCAGUCGUGGGGAUGAAGUUUGAUCAGUUUUCAAGGGUAGAGAAUUCUUAUUAAACUGACAGGAUUCUUGCUAAAACUGGAUUCUACAAGGAAGUACAUGGAAGGUUGUUGGGGAGAGGGUUCAGGGGAAUCUGACUAAAGUUUGGGGCCCCAAUCCCUUAUUCAAAACCUUCAGGGCCAGAACUGUUUUGGAAUUCACAAGUGUUUGGAUCUUAACAGGAUAGUAAGCCCCUUGCCUGUGCCUUGGAGAUUGCUGCUGAGGUGACUUGGCCCUUCCUGCUGAUUGCAGUGGGUCUCUGCUCUUUGUGGGUUGUCCACCUCCAGAGGAUUGGCUCUAAAUCAGGGUAACCUCAACCCAGGUGACUUCCCAUUGCAUUCAGAAGGAAGCUCAAACUCCUAAUUAGUGUCCACAAGACCUGGAACGUCUGAGCCUCAUUGCAUCUGACUCUUGUCCUUCUGCUCUUUUCCCUCACCCAUCCAUUCUGGCCUCACUGCCUGCCAUCAGUUUCUUGAUUCCUGAUUGCAUCAGAUUCUUCCCACUUCAGAGCCUUUGCUAGCCCUUCUCCUUUUGCUAAAAUGCUCUUCCCCAAGUCAUUAUAUACUGGCUCCUUCUCACACCUGAGAGUUCAGAUUAAAGUUGACUUCAUCAGA